rnacentral:rRNA from 1 species
UACGUAGGUCCCGAGCGUUGUCCGGAUUUAUUGAGCGUAAAGCGAGCGCAGGUGGUUUAUUAAGUCUGGUGUAAAAGGCAGUGGCUCAACCAUUGUAUGCAUUGGAAACUGGUAGACUUGAGUGCAGGAGAGGAGAGUGGAAUUCCAUGUGUAGCGGUGAAAUGCGUAGAUAUAUGGAGGAACACCGGUGGCGAAAGCGGCUCUCUGGCCUGUAACUGACACUGAGGCUCGAAAGUGUGGGGAGCAAACAGG